rnacentral:rRNA from 1 species
GGGAAUUUUCCGCAAUGGGCGAAAGCCUGACGGAGCAAUGCCGCGUGGAGGUGGAAGGCCUACGGGUCGUCAACUUCUUUUCUCGGAGAAGAAACAAUGACGGUAUCUGGGGAAUAAGCAUCGGCUAACUCUGUGCCAG